GGGACACGUGGUAUCCUGUCUGAAUAUGGGGGGACCAUCCUCCAAGGCUAAAUACUCCUGACUGACCGAUAGUGAACCAGUACCGUGAGGGAAAGGCGAAAAGAACCCCGGCGAGGGGAGUGAAAAAGAACCUGAAACCGUGUACGUACAAGCAGUGGGAGCACGCUUAGGCGUGUGACUGCGUACCUUUUGUAUAAUGGGUCAGCGACUUAUAUUCUGUAGCAAGGUUAACCGAAUAGGGGAGCCGAAGGGAAACCGAGUCUUAACUGGGCGUUAAGUUGCAGGGUAUAGACCCGAAACCCGGUGAUCUAGCCAUGGGCAGGUUGAAGGUUGGGUAACACUAACUGGAGGACCGAACCGACUAAUGUUGAAAAAUUAGCGGAUGACUUGUGGCUGGGGGUGAAAGGCCAAUCAAACCGGGAGAUAGCUGGUUCUCCCCGAAAGCUAUUUAGGUAGCGCCUCGUGAAUUCAUCUCCGGGGGUAGAGCACUGUUUCGGCAAGGGGGUCAUCCCGACUUACCAACCCGAUGCAAACUGCGAAUACCGGAGAAUGUUAUCACGGGAGACACACGGCGGGUGCUAACGUCCGUCGUGAAGAGGGAAACAACCCAGACCGCCAGCUAAGGUCCCAAAGUCAUGGUUAAGUGGGAAACGAUGUGGGAAGGCCCAGACAGCCAGGAUGUUGGCUUAGAAGCAGCCAUCAUUUAAAGAAAGCGUAAUAGCUCACUGGUCGAGUCGGCCUGCGCGGAAGAUGUAACGGGGCUAAACCAUGCACCGAAGCUGCGGCAGCGACGCUUAUGCGUUGUUGGGUAGGGGAGCGUUCUGUAAGCCUGCGAAGGUGUGCUGUGAGGCAUGCUGGAGGUAUCAGAAGUGCGAAUGCUGACAUAAGUAACGAUAAAGCGGGUGAAAAGCCCGCUCGCCGGAAGACCAAGGGUUCCUGUCCAACGUUAAUCGGGGCAGGGUGAGUCGACCCCUAAGGCGAGGCCGAAAGGCGUAGUCGAUGGGAAACAGGUUAAUAUUCCUGUACUUGGUGUUACUGCGAAGGGGGGACGGAGAAGGCUAUGUUGGCCGGGCGACGGUUGUCCCGGUUUAAGCGUGUAGGCUGGUUUUCCAGGCAAAUCCGGAAAAUCAAGGCUGAGGCGUGAUGACGAGGCACUACGGUGCUGAAGCAACAAAUGCCCUGCUUCCAGGAAAAGCCUCUAAGCAUCAGGUAACAUCAAAUCGUACCCCAAACCGACACAGGUGGUCAGGUAGAGAAUACCAAGGCGCUUGAGAGAACUCGGGUGAAGGAACUAGGCAAAAUGGUGCCGUAACUUCGGGAGAAGGCACGC
rnacentral:rRNA from 1 species